rnacentral:lncRNA from 1 species
CAGAGGAGGACUCGUGUCAGAGUGGGGUUAAGAGUCAGCCUCUCAGGACAAGAGAUGUCAUCCUGAGACCCUAGGCUGGUGGUAGUUACUGGGUGAAGGGUGAGGACGAGGGUUUCAGGCAGAGGGCAUCACCUUUGGGAAGACACGGAGGUAGGAGAGAGCACGAGCAUUUGGGCGAGAAGGAAGUACAUAAGUGGUCUUAUCUUUUUUUUUUUUUUGAGGAAGAUUAGCCCUGAGCUAACUACUGCCAGUCCUCCUCUUCUUGAUGAGGAGGCCCGGCCCUGAGCUAACAUCGUGCCCAUCUUCCUCUGCUUUAUAUGUGGGAUGCCUACCACAGCAUGGCGUGCCAAGUGGUGCCAUGUCCACACCCAGGAUCCGAACCGGCGAACCCUGGGCCGCCGAGAAGUGGAAUGUGUGAACUUAACUGCUGUGCCACCGGGCCGGCCCGGACUCUUUCUGACUCUCCUCUUCUGAGCAUGUGGGAGGGUUGCCCUGAGCACCUGGGACGGUUCCAUAUGACUAGUUCUGGCCAAUGAGUUGUGAAAGGAAGUGAUGUGUGCCACUUCUAGGCUCAAGGUGAAGUGAGCCUAACUUAAUUGUCAGUGUGAAACCUUCCACGGCAGUCCUUCCUUCCAACACAGCGACUGACAGCUUUCAAAAUGGCGGCUACUCCAACGGCUUGGGACCCCAAGUGACUGUGAUGAGCAGAGCCCCGGGUCAACGCUCACUGGCCAUAUAUUUCUCUCCAGCCUCACUGGCCGGCUGGCCCCACUGUCACCUCUUUGGCAAAUUCGCUCAUCUGCGGCCGGGAUGAGUUCGGCAUCCAGAGGCCUCUGCACUGAGGAGGGAGGCAGGAAAAGUCUAAAGUUUCCAGAGCUCUCUGCUGCUAAGGAUCUAGGAUUCCAGACCUCUCCGGGUAGUCAGACGCCCAGAUCCUCGGCUCCUGUUAUUCUAAGACCCCGUGACCGGCGCACGCUAACCUCUGCCAUCUUGGAACGCUGGGGGUUGAACUGACGAGUCACCCAGCGUGGGCCGUGCCUGUGCCGGCUCUGUCUGGAGCUCACGUGGCCCUUGAGUGGGAGCUCAUCUCCUGUCAGGUUCCCGGGUGUGGCAGCUGCUGCCUCUGCUGUCCCCCUCAAGGGCGCCCUGAGUCUGGAAACGUGGGUGCUGAGAGGGCCAGGCCUCCAGCAGGGACUGUGCUGUGUUAACAUCCUCCUUUUCUGAGCCCCUGAACUGAGAAGGCACCAAAACCCAGCG